GAUGAACGCUGGCGGCGUGCCUAAUACAUGCAAGUCGAGCGAACGGACGAGAAGCUUGCUUCUCUGAUGUUAGCGGCGGACGGGUGAGUAACACGUGGAUAACCUACCUAUAAGACUGGGAUAACUUCGGGAAACCGGAGCUAAUACCGGAUAAUAUUUUGAACCGCAUGGUUCAAUAGUGAAAGACGGUCUUGCUGUCACUUAUAGAUGGAUCCGCGCCGCAUUAGCUAGUUGGUAAGGUAACGGCUUACCAAGGCAACGAUGCAUAGCCGACCUGAGAGGGUGAUCGGCCACACUGGAACUGAGACACGGUCCAGACUCCUACGGGAGGCAGCAGUAGGGAAUCUUCCGCAAUGGGCGAAAGCCUGACGGAGCAACGCCGCGUGAGUGAUGAAGGUCUUCGGAUCGUAAAACUCUGUUAUUAGGGAAGAACAAAUGUGUAAGUAACUGUGCACAUCUUGACGGUACCUAAUCAGAAAGCCACGGCUAACUACGUG
rnacentral:rRNA from 1 species